rnacentral:rRNA from 1 species
UACGUAGGGGGCAAGCGUUGUCCGGAAUCAUUGGGCGUAAAGCGCGCGUAGGCGGCCCGGUAAGUCCGCUGUGAAAGUCCAGGGCUCAACCCUGGAAAGCCGGUGGAUACUGUCGGGCUAGAGUCCGGAAGAGGCGAGUGGAAUUCCUGGUGUAGCGGUGGAAUGCGCAGAUAUCAGGAGGAACACCGAUAGCGAAGGCAGCUCGCUGGGACGGUACUGACGCUAAGGCGCGAAAGCGUGGG